CGACAAGCUAGAUAAGGGCGUAUGGGGAAUGCCUAGGCUCUCAGAGGCGAUGAAGGACGCGAUAAGCUGCGAAAAGCUGCGGGGAUCGGCACAUACGAUAUGAUCCGCAGGUAUCCGAAUGGGGCAACCCAGCAUGUUGAAGACAUGUUAUCCGCAAGGAGGCAAACCCGGUGAACUGAAACAUCUAAGUAGCCGGAGGAGGAGAAAACAAAAGUGAUUCCGGGAGUAGCGG
rnacentral:rRNA from 1 species